GAUGAACGCUGGCGGCGUGCCUAAUACAUGCAAGUCGAGCGAACAGAUAAGGAGCUUGCUCCUUUGACGUUAGCGGCGGACGGGUGAGUAACACGUGGGUAACCUACCUAUAAGACUGGAAUAACUCCGGGAAACCGGGGCUAAUGCCGGAUAACAUUUAGAACCGCAUGGUUCUAAAGUGAAAGAUGGUUUUGCUAUCACUUAUAGAUGGACCCGCGCCGUAUUAGCUAGUUGGUAAGGUAACGGCUUACCAAGGCAACGAUACGUAGCCGACCUGAGAGGGUGAUCGGCCACACUGGAACUUGGGCACGGUCCCGACUCCUACGGGAGGCAGCAGUAGGGGAUCUUCCGGAAUGGGGGGAAGCCUGACGGGACAACGCCGCGGGGGUGAUGAAGGUCUUCGGGUCGUAAAACUCUGUUAAUAGGGAAGAACAAAUGUGUAAGUAACUGUGCACGUCUUGACGGUACCUAAUCAGAAAGCCACGGCUAACUACGUG
rnacentral:rRNA from 1 species